rnacentral:rRNA from 1 species
UAAGGAAUAUUGGACAAUGGAGGCAACUCUGAUCCAGCCAUGCCGCGUGAAGGAAUAAGGCACUAUGGGUUGUAAACUUCUUUUAGACGGGACAAAACCCCUUUACGUGUAAAGGGUUGAUGGUACUGUCAGAAUAAGCAUCGGCUAACUUCGUGCCAGCAGCCGCGGUAAUACGAAGGAUGCAAGCGUUAUCAGGAAUUAUUGGGUUGAAAGGGUGCGUAGGCGGACUAAUAAGUCAGUGGUGAAAGCCUGCAGCUUAACUGCAGAAUUGCCAUUGAUACGGUUAGUGUUGAGUACAGUUGAGGUAGGCGGAAUGUGUCAUGUAGCGGUGAAAUGCUUAGAUAUGACACAGAACACCGAUUGCGAAGGCAGCUUGCUAAGCUGUAACUGACGCUGAGGCACGAAAGCGUGGGGAGCAAACA